GAGUGGGAAGAAGAGGGAGCUUGGAGAAGCUUUGAGCAGGUCCUGAAUAGGCAAGUGAGGGGCUUGCCUUAACCCUACAGGAUUCUCAGUCUCCACGUCUACCUCCCACAACAUGUGCAAAUGCUUACAUUCAUGGUGGGUUUCUCCCUCUCCCUUGGAUCCCCAAAGCAGCAAGAGCUGGUGUGGAGCACUCCCCAGUCUAGGCUGGGGGACGCAAGGAGAAGCCAUCCUCACAGCAGUCUCUUCCUGAGAGAUGCUAAGGCGGUGGAGAGACUGCAUAAUGUGCCUUUCCAGGGGGUGUUUCUCUCUAUUGAUUAUUUGAACUGUUAAACUUGAUUACAUUUUACUUUAAUUGUACCAUUUGAAAUUAGAUUCAGGUAAGAUUUCAAACUUAUUAAAUAAAUGGCCCAUAGGACAUUUGGGGGAAUGUCUCAAAAAAGAAAAAUGUAAAUAGAAUCUACAUAUAAAAGUGAUCAAUUUAACAAGCUUUAAGGGGAAGGCAAAGUAAAACAAUAUGAUGUAAUUUGCAGCCACCAGACCGGCAAAAAUAUUCAAAUAUUGAUAAUAUCCAGUUUUAGCAAGAAAGAAUGUGGGGAAAAAUUAGCAAUGAAAUAGUUAUGAAAGUACUUUGGCAAUAUUUGGCAUAUGUUCUGAUCCCACAAUCCUGCUUCUAGAAAGCAUUUCUGUAAAAAUAAGAGCACAGAUUAGGACACACAUUUACAGCCUGUGCUAUAUGAACAAAGCUGAAAUUAACUGGGACUACCGAAUAAAUAAAAUACAUUAUAUUUGCAAAAUAUAUAAUUCAUAGCUAAUAUGACAUUUUAAUUUUUAUAUAAAAAUAUAUUUUUAUAUCUGCCCAUAUGCAUAUGCAUGCAUGCAUACCCAGACAUGUGUAUACACACAUUUACAUACCUGGAAGGAUGUUCCCGAUGUGUUAAAUGGAAAGAGCUAGUUGAAGGGUAGAAUAAAUGAUAUGAUAACGUUUUUGUUUCUAGAGAAGGGAAAGAUACUCUAUAUGAACAUAUAUUUAUAUUGUUGUUGGAAAAAUUUAAAAGUUGUGGGAAAAUCCCCACAAACUGCCAUCAUUGGCUCACUUGGGAAAGUAGAGGUGGAAAGGCAGUGAGCUAUGAUUAGUUUAUAUACCUUGGUGUUAUUUCAGUUUUACAACAAACAUAUAUUACUUUUUGUAAUAUAGGAAACUAUAGGUUUGUAACUAGGAAAAUAUAUAUAAAUUUCAAGAGGACAGAUUUCAGAUUAAUAUGAAUAAUUUUCUAAUAGGCAGGAUUAUUUGGAUUUAGCGAGGGCUCUUCAAGGGGUCACUAGUCUUUCUUAAUUGUGAGCGGUCAAGCAUAAGUUAGAUGAGGACAGUGUUAGGAAGGAGAUUCUGGUAUAAGAUGCAAAGUUGGACAAUGUAGCCUCAUUGGUCUUUUUAAAUUAUGACAUGCCAGGCUUCUACAAAGUCCACAUUUCAAGGCGUUUCUGCGUUUGGCCAAAUGAGAUGCUAGACUCUCAUUUCAAUGCAUUUUUGCGUCUUUAUUUACUUCAAAUUAGUAAGAAAUGUUGAAACCUAGAGUCAUCCUAAACUAUUUCUUUAGCUCUGAUCCCCCCUCAAGCAGCAAACAAAAUUACAACACAAUGUUGUAAGUGCUAUUCUGAAGAUGUGCUUUGCAAGGUGACUCUAAGCCAGCCUAGAAGUGGAGGGAUCAAGGAAGGGUUGCUGGAAGAGGUGACACCUGAGCUGAGUCUUAAAGGAUGUUUUCUCAAGGCUCACCUCCUCUGCAGAGUGCAGACCUCCACGUCGCUGCACUUUGCACACGUCUCCAUGAUCGCUUGCAUUGCACUAAUUGUCUUUGAUAUGUAUCUUCCUUCCUAGUUUCUAAAUUGCUAGGGAGAAACUAUGAGUUUUAUUUAUCAUUACACCUCAGCCAUGACUGCAUGACUAGCAGAACAUUCAAUAAAUAUUUAUAGAAUCGAUUGGUUUUCAUUUUAGUUCAUAACUCACAGACGUAGUGAAGGACAUCCAUUCUUAUGAAUUCUCAUGAUGAACAUUAAUUCACAGCACAGUUCUGCAUCUGCUUUUGAGUUUGUUGUUGUUGUUGUUGUUGUUGUUGUUUUGAGACAGAGUCUCACUGUCACCCAGGUUUGAGUGCCAUGGCACGAUCUUGGCUCACUGUAACCUCCACCUCCCGGGUUCAAGCGAUUCUCCUGCCUCAGACCCAAGUAGCUGAGAUUGCAGACGUGCGCCACCAAGCUCGGUUAAGUUUUGUAUUUUUAGUAGAGACAGGGUCUCACUAUGUUGGCCAGGCUGGUCUCAAACUCCUGACCUCAGGUGAUCGGCCCGCCUCGGCCUCCCAAAGUGCUGGGAUUACAGGCAUGAGCCAAUACGCCCGGCCUAUUUUUGAGAUUUUCUGCUGCUACUCCAGCUUAGCCUGACAGAGCUUUCACUUUUUGUUCCUACCCCUUCGUGUGCAUCUGAACAAUCCACAAGCCUCACGAACUCCUGUGGCUUCCCUCCCUUCGAGCUGUAUCCACCAUGACCUCUUGACCAGGGCUGAGGGAGAAGGAGGAGGGUCGUGCCACUAUCCUAGCACCCUCUGUCAAGAGCCACAGUCAUCAGAACCAUGGAGUGACUGACUGGGAGGGAGCCAGACCCUUUGGGAAGCAGCAACAACCAACCAGAGCGGCGCCACACUGUCCCACCCACUUUAGGAAAACUUCACCAGAAACAAACCAAGAAAAACCAGAGUUCCUAGACAUAUCCAGGUUUCCUAAGCUUUUCAUCUAGAAUAUUGUUCGUUUUAGGUUAUAACUGUCGCUAUGUGUUCUCUAGCUAUUUGGGUCAACAAAACCAAAUUAGUAAUGAAAACCUGACAUGGAUUUGGGGGUUCUGACCAGACACUCUGUACUGUAUCAGGCAAGGAUUUAACAAUGCAACUUAAAUUUAAGAGACUAUUUAUAGUUACACAUGUACUUUCUUCAUAAGGUUGUCUUAUAGGUUUAAGCAUAGAACAAAAUUUCAGGCACCAGAACUGGCCCAGAGAAUUCUCCCUGUGUUUUGCAAAGAGGUAUCAAUUUGUAAUUUCUUUUUAUCAGUGUUGUAAUUUUAAUAAAAUAUGAGAGUUUAUAAAAAAACAUGCAAUCCAAACCUAAGUAAGGGUAUAACAAACACAAACUAAGCAAAGAAAUAGAGAACUUAAAUUUGGUGGUUUUUUUUUUUUUUUUUUGCUUGUUUUUUUCUUUUUAACCUAG
rnacentral:lncRNA from 10 species